UAUAGUUCGUAGACACCUUUACUAUAAUGGAUUUAUGCUUGGUUAUACAACUUGGACUUCUCAUGGAGAAUAUGAAAUUGGGCAAUCUUCUAGAUAUGGAGAUGAACAUGAUGACACAAUGUCUCAAGUGGAAUCCCAAAAUCCCUAUACUCAAAUGAUUAAGGAUCUUAUGGGUCCAACUUUUAAUAUUCCUCCUUAUCAUGGUAAUAGCUCAAGUUUUGUGGAAGAAGAACCAAAUCCCAAAGCAGCUACAUUCUGUUCUUUAUUGCAUGAUGCAGAUGAACCAUUAUAUCAAGGUUGUGACAAGUACACAAAGUUAUCAGCUUUAUCACAAUUGCUAAAUUUAAAGUCUGAGUUUAACAUGAGUGAAGCAUGUUUUGAUCGUCUUGUGGUGAUGAUUAAGAAUAUGCUUCCAGAAGAUGCAUGCCUACCUGACAACUUUUAUAGAACAAAACAAAAGAUGAAAAAUCUUGGUAUGGGUUAUGAGAAGAUUCAUGUUUGUCAAAACAAUUGCAUGUUGUUUUAUAAAGAAGCCAAUGAUCUUAACCAUUGUUCUGUUUGUGGGCAUCCUCAGUAUAAGAUGAGACAAAUGGGGAAAUAAAAAAAAGGGGAAGCAAAAGGAGAUUCCAUGCAAAAUUUUACGUUAUUUGCCACUUAUACCGAGACUUCAAAGGCUUUAUAUGUCAGCAAAGACUGCUGAAAACAUGACAUGGCAUGCAACUAAUCAAAGUGAUGAUGGUGUACUUAGACAUCCUGUUGAUGGGAAGGCAUGGCAACAUUUUAACGAAACAUAUCCAUCUUUUAGUCAAGAACCUCGUAAUGUGAGACUCGGGCUAUGUGCUGAUGGUUUUAGUCCUUUUGGACCUGCAGCAAAACCAUAUUCUGUUUGGCCAGUAAUGCUUGUUGUGUACAAUUUGCCUCCUUGGAUGUGUAUGAAGCAACCAUACAUAUUUCUUAAUAUGGUUAUUCCAGGGAAAAAAAGUCCCAGCCAAAACAUUGAUGUGUUCUUGCGGCCUUUGAUAGAUGAGUUGAACCAACUAUGGGAUGAUGGUAUCCUAACGUAUGAUGCUUUUUUAAGAAACAGAAUUUCAUAAUGAGAGCAUCAUUGUUAUGGACAAUUAAUGAUUUUCUGGCUUAUGGCAUGUUGUCCAGUUGGAGUACUCACGGAACUUUAUCAUGUCCUUAUUGCAUGGGGCAUAUUAAGUCCUUCAGGUUGGUUCAUGGUAGGAAGCCAUGUUUUUUUUAUUGCCAUCGUCAGUUUUUGCCAAGGGAUCAUCCUUUUAGGAGGCAAAAAUAUAACUUUUCAAAAAGACUUGAGCAUGACUAUCCAAUUCCUCGAUUAUCAGGUGAAGAAAUAUUGACACAGUUGAAUUGCUUUCCAGAUAUUACAUGUGGUACUAAAUGCAACGAAGAUAAGCUUAUGGGGUUUGGAGAAAGCCAUAAUUGGGUGAAGAAAAUUAUAUUUUGGGAGUUACAUGUGGUCCUUCCACUAGUACUCCGCAUAUGAAUACUUCUCUUAAUGAUGAUAAAAUUGUGAGUUUAGAGGAGAAGCUUGAAUCAUUGACCGGUGAUGUGAGUCAAAUGAAGAAUGCUAUAGGUGAUAUAAGCGAUUUGAAAAAUCAAUUUCAGAUUAUGAUGAGUUUCAUGAUGGAGAAAUUUGGAUCAAAUAUGCCUCCAUCAACAACUAAAUGAUUUUAGGAAGACAUUUGGGAAAGAAGAUGGGAAUAAAAACUCAAGGGACAAUGGUCAAGAAGAGGGAACAAAAAAAAACUCAAGGUAAUUCUAUGUAUGCUAAUGAUGGAUCUUUGCUUAACUUUGUUUAUUGGUGAUAAUUGUAUUGAUGGAUUAGAAAAUUGUUGAUGAUGGAUUUUUCAUUGUGAUGUAAUGUUGGAACAUUUGU